rnacentral:tRNA from 1 species
ACUUUCAAAGGAUAUUAGAGAUCCAUUAAUUUUAGGCAUUAACACUACCUGGUGCAAAUCCAAGUGAAAGUA